rnacentral:rRNA from 1 species
UACAGAGGCCUCGAGCGUUAGGCGGAAUCACUGGGCUUAAAGCGUGUGUAGGCGGAUGUCUAAGUACCUUGUGAAAUCCCACGGCUCAACCGUGGAAUAGCUUGGUAUACUGGAUGUCUUGAGCCAUCUAGGGGCGACUGGAACGAAUGGUGGAGCGGUGAAAUGCGUAGAUAUCAUUCGGAACGCCUGUGGUGAAAACGGGUCGCUGGGGAUGUGCUGACGCUGAGACACGAAAGCCAGGGGAGCAAACGGG